GGGUGGAUAGCUCAGCGGUUAGAGCGCGUGUCUUAUAAACACGAGGUUUCGAUGGUUCAAAUCCAUCUCCACCCA
rnacentral:tRNA from 1 species